rnacentral:rRNA from 1 species
UACCCGCAGCACAAGUGGUGGUCAUUAUUAUUGGGCCUAAAGCGUCCGUAGCUGGCCUGUUAGAUGCCUGGGUAAAUCGAUGCGCUCAACGUAUCGAACUCCGGGUAGACCGGCAGGCUUGGGACCGGGAGAGAUGUGAGCUACUCGAGGGGUAGGGGUAAAAUCCUGUAAUCCUUCGGGGAGGACCAGUGGCGAAGGCGCACAUUAGAACGGCUCCGACAGUGAGGGACGAAGCCCUGGGGCGCAAACCGG